AUUGAACGCUGGCGGCAGGCCUAACACAUGCAAGUCGAACGAGUGGCGGACGGGUGAGUAAUGUCUGGGAAACUGCCUGAUGGCGGGGGAUAACUACUGGAAACGGUAGCUAAUACCGCAUACCAUCGGAUGUUCCCAGAUGGGAUUAGCUUGUAGGGUGGGUAAAGGCUCACCAAGGCGACGAUCCCUAGCUGGUCUGAGAGGAUGACAAGCCACACUGGAACUGCGACACGGUCCAGACUCGUACGGGAGGCAGCAGUGGGGAAUAUUGCACAAUGGGCGAAAUCCUGAUGCAGCCAUGCCGCGUGUAUGAAGAAGGCCUUCGGGUUGGAAAGUACUUUCAGCGGGGAGGCGUUACCCGCAGAAGGAGCACCGGCUAACUCCGUGCCAGCAGCCGCGGUAAUAC
rnacentral:rRNA from 1 species